rnacentral:tRNA from 1 species
GCGCCCGUAGCUCAACUGGAUAGAGUGUUGGUCUCCGAAGCCAAAGGUUAUGGGUUCGAAUCCCGUCGGGCGCACAA